UGAUGAAAAUUCUCCGGAAUCGCUGUACAGCAUUGAUGAUUCUUCUGAACCCCUUUAAGCUGAUGGCUGUAGCUUUUGUCACU